UGUGAUUGGCUCCGCGGUGCCCCGCCCUCACUGGGCUCGGCGUGCUCCUGCGCGUCCGGCCCCAGCGGCGGCCUGGGAAUCUACGUCACCCGAAAAGUGGCUAUAAACGCCCGUGCAUGGGUUGCACUUCUUUCUUCACUCAGGACACUAGUCCUCCCACGUCUGAGACCGACGUCGCCAGGACCGCGGGGUCGGGGGGACUCGGCUGUCCCCCGUCUUUCAAAUAAAGCUGUUUGGCUAACUCA